GAUGAACGCUGGCGGCGUGCCUAAUACAUGCAAGUCGAGCGAACAGACGAGGAGCUUGCUCCUCUGACGUUAGCGGCGGACGGGUGAGUAACACGUGGAUAACCUACCUAUAAGACUGGGAUAACUUCGGGAAACCGGAGCUAAUACCGGAUAAUAUAUUGAACCGCAUGGUUCAAUAGUGAAAGACGGUUUUGCUGUCACUUAUAGAUGGAUCCGCGCCGCAUUAGCUAGUUGGUAAGGUAACGGCUUACCAAGGCAACGAUGCGUAGCCGACCUGAGAGGGUGAUCGGCCACACUGGAACUGAGACACGGUCCAGACUCCUACGGGAGGCAGCAGUAGGGAAUCUUCCGCAAUGGGCGAAAGCUUGACGGAGCAACGCCGCGUGAGUGAUGAAGGUCUUCGGAUCGUAAAACUCUGUUAUUAGGGAAGAACAAAUGUGUAAGUAACUAUGCACGUCUUGACGGUAACUAAUCAGAAAGCCACGGCUAACUACGUG
rnacentral:rRNA from 1 species